UUAUAUUCAACGUUAUCCAUCAUGUAUGAAGACAUGAAACAUUUAUGAAUUCUCGAAGAAUCCAUUCUAUCUUAUAAUAGGACUAAGAAAUUAGUAAUUAUUAUCUGGAAAAACUCGAAUAGAGAAAGGAAAAAGUUUUUGUUUUUAUAUCGUUCAUUCUGAUUAGAAAAAUAAAAUGAAAAAAUAUUAAACACUGUAUUACAAAAUAGGAGAGGAAAUUUUGUUAUCCUUUUACGGCAACAUGUAAGCUAUUAGUAAUACAUAAUUUUAAUUAAAAAGGAACAACCACUUUUACUUAUAAGAGCAACUAUGGCGUCAUUGUGGCGUACUUUUUCAUGUAACCACAACAGUGAUGGAGGUCAAUUAAUGCCGUCUCCUUGGCGACACUAUAGACUGAGACUAAUGGGGUUGGUUGUGUAGCCUUUUACCACUGUCAACCUUCUAACAACAGACCCAUCAAACAUUCUAUGCAGUCAGCUUGGUCCCUUUUCUCUUCUCGCUGAAACCAUCUGCUUGGAAAAAUAUCAGCUACUGGAAAAAAGAAACAACGGUUGUUUGUGAAUUAUUCUUUUUUCUUUCAUUUGGACUAACCGAAUAGUGUUUAGACGAAACACUCUUGGCUUCUGAGUUCAUUUCUUAUUAACGCUAGAAGCUUUCCUUCAGGUAACUUCCUGUAGUAUUGUCUCCCACACUAAGGUAUUUAUGACAAUUAUUUGAGUGAUGUACCAUUAGUUCCAGCCGAGAGAUGUUAUAUGCGGUAAAGUCCACCUUCAGGGAUUAGAGAACUCGUUCAACUGGUUUCUGGUAUCAUUCUUUCCACCUGCCUAGUUCAACGUACACUUUGACCACGUGGUCGGCAUAUGGCACCUGACCCUUAAAGAGCCUCGGGCUACUCACGUUUGCCUUGUGUGGCCGUGCACAGUCUCCGUCACGUCUCCCUAUUUAUCUGGAUCAUCUUGCUGUUUAUUUACUGAUAGCUGGCUAUGAUAUGACAUGUCAACCUAGACACCUUCGCCUACCGAUGCUCAGUUUAUUUAGCUUUCCUUUUAUAUAUAUAUAUACACACACACACCAGAUUACUUUUGUCUUUCUUGGAUUCUUUUUAUUAUUCGUUAUUGAAUUAACUGGAAACGUUAUGAGGUCUCUAGAAGAAGAAGCAAGGGGGAAAAAAAAGAAAAACGAAUUGGCUAUUUAAAGAAGGAAACGUUAAUGCUAGUUGGAAUAACAAUAAUAUUACGGAGGUUCUUCCGUAAAAUAAUCGAAAUAAACAUGUACACAAUGUUCGUAUUGAUUCAAAACGCGAAGGAAUAUUCAUAUCGAUCAAGACUUUUUUCCGAAAGUAUUCACAGAAAUGAAGUCGAUGAGAAAUUUUUAAGAUGUUUGGUGUAAAUGAAUGCAAUCUUUCUUCUCGAAUUUCGUCCUGGAAAUUUAAAUCGGAAGCAAAACGAAUUUUUCUUUCUUUUUUUUUCUUAUUUUUCUUCUUCUGUCG
rnacentral:lncRNA from 1 species